ensembl:processed_transcript Gm15927 predicted gene 15927
UCAAGUUUAAAGGCAGCUGUAAUUGGUUGCGAGGUGUAUUCUACCCUGAACUCAUUGGUUAGCUAUGAAUGUGGGUAGGGGAAAACGACAAAAAGCAUAGUGUCGGACUAGGACCUCUCCUGUAGUUGCAAGGACUCCAGCUGUAGAGGAAACUGCGCUUUGCCCUACGUCGGUCACAUCUGUAAUGACUACUCAAC